UGGCCGGGUCAUUUCCAGCAGAGUCGCCAUGUAAGACAGACGGGUACAUUGUCACAGCGGGCUAAUAUCUUCAUUCGUUCAAGAAUUCAAUUUUAGUUAGGGAACUUAUGACUUGGGCACGGAUAGCAGACCGUGCGUCAUAUCUGUGAUGAUGACAACGAUGAUGAUCGUGAUGGUGACUUCAUCGUGGUGAUGAUGAUUGUGACGAUGGUGAUGAUAUCAACGUGGAUUGUCUCGGACAUCCUAUACCAUUCCCAGCUUUGGAUAUAAAGCCCGGAAGGACUGGAGGGAUUGGGUGUGACAUCUACAGUUUGAUGUGACUUUUUGUGAUACAAAACGAUCCAUUCUAUGGGCAAUUUAAUUUUCCCGGGUUUUCUUUUGUUUGAAUUUUUAUACAUAUACGAUAGGUACUGUUUUCCUGUUAUCGUGAAUAUUAGUUUUUUUUUUUUUUUGGUAGGUGUGUGAUUGGUGUGAGACUGUUACCUAUAUAUCUUCCUUUUAUUUGAAAAUAAUUUUUUUUCAAUAAUUCUUCAGUACUGUUCUUGUUUGUUAUUUGGAUUGUAGCGUCGCUCAUCCCGUUACACACCCCAAAAA